UUGACAGCAAUGACUCGCGGCGUAGCUGUACUAUUGCUCCUCUGCCUGCUGGGUGCUUCCCUUGACAGAGGUUAUCAGGGGGUGUCGGCUUACGAAGAAAUUCAAACCCUAAACAUGGUGGUGAUGUUGGACCGCUGCAGAGACGGAUAUAUCGAGGUCCAUGAUGGUGAAUGCAGAAGAGUGGUGAUGUCUGGCGCCGUGCGGUCGGGUGAAGGCAGCAUGGUGCGCUUUGGACUCGUUUCUGCUCUCGCUCUGAUUUCGACCGGUAUUGGCUUCUACAUCCACUCCUAGUCACUUCAUUAAUGGAAUCGAGAUUUGGCGAAAUAUUAAAGCAGCGUACAUGGUAAUCACUAAAUGGAUAGUACAUUAGCAAUAUAGGAGCAGAUACAGUGUUUCGCAUGUAGUUUCUAACGUAGAAUCAUCCAAUAAUUCCUAUACAUUUCAAAUAUUAUGCCAAUUCAUUUGGGGAAAUAAAUUUUCGAACAUAA